rfam:Alfuy virus strain MRM3929, complete genome.
AUGUCUAAAAAACCAGGAGGACCCGGAAGAAACCGGGUCGUCAGUAUG